ACCGCUUGUCACGUCACGACUUGUGUCCACUGCCUCGGAGAGAGGCAUGCCGGGAUAACUAGUCGUGACGUCAGCACGAGAAAUGCUUCCUGGAUGAGGAAGAUCACGUGACCACUAUCUGAAACGGUGGCCAGAGAUAAGAUCGGCACAGCAAGUAAAUUGAGCUGGCUGAUAGCUGGAUGGUCUGUAAUACAUUCUAUGGGUGAUGUCCGUGUGAACAUCUCCAAGGAAUAGUUCCUCCACUAGGUGAUCCAGGUUAUGAUAUCAUAACUAACAUCCGUUUUCCAGGGCUUGUCUGCAGGUAUGAUGCCAGGACAUGUUUGGUUCACCAACCAUGUUAGGUUCUCAGCCACGCUUUCACUGUGAGGUAUUAUUUGC